rnacentral:rRNA from 1 species
ACAAGCGGCGGAGCAUGCGGAUUAAUUCGAUGCAACGCGAAGAACCUUACCAAGGCUUGACAUACACCGGUAACGCCCAGAGAUGGGUGCCCCUUUGUGGUCGGUGUACAGGUGGUGCAUGGUUGUCGUCAGCUCGUGUCGUGAGAUGUUGGGUUAAGUCCCGCAACGAGCGCAACCCUCGUCCCUAUGUUGCCAGCGGGUCAUGCCGGGGACUCAUGGGAGACUGCCGGGGUCAACUCGGAGGAAGGUGGGGAUGACGUCAAAUCAUCAUGCCCCUUAUGUCUUGGGCUUCACGCAUGCUACAAUGGCAGGUACAGAGGGCUGCGAAGCCGCGAGGUGGAGCGAAUCCCAGAAAACCUGUCUCAGUCCGGAUUGAAGUCUGCAACUCGACUUCAUGAAGGCGGAAUCGCUAGUAACCGCGGAUCAGCAUGUCGCGGUGAAUACGUUCCCGGGUCUU